rnacentral:ncRNA from 1 species
AAUAGGCUUGGUCCUGGCCUUUCUAUUAGCUCUUAGCAAGAUUACACAUGCAAGUAUCCCCACCCCGGUGAAGACGCCCUAUAAAUCAUCAUGACCAAAAGGAGCAAGUAUCAAGCACGCACACGCAGCUCAAAACGCUUUGCCUGGCCACACCCCCACGGGAGACAGCAGUGACAAAUAUUUAGCAAUGAACGAAAGUUCAACUAAGCUAUGCUAUAUUUAGGGUUGGUCAAUUUCGUGCCAGCCACCGCGGUCACACGAUUAACCCCAGCCAAUAGAGUUCGGCGUAAAGGGGGUUAAGAUCUGACAUAUAUAGCUAACUCAACCUAAACUGUAAAACCCUAGCUGAUGUAAAAUAAACUACGAAAGUGGCUUUAAAGCUUCUGAACACACGAUAGCCAAGACCCAAACUGGGAUUAGACACCCUACUAUGCUUGGCCCUAAACCUCAGUAGUUAGAUAACAAAACUACUCGCCAGAAUACUACAAGCAACAGCUUAAAACUCAAAGGACUUGACGGUGCUUUACAUCCCCCUAGAGGAGCCUGUUCCGUAAUCGAUAAACCCCGAUCCACCCCACCCUCUCUUGCUCAGCCUAUAUACCGCCAUCUUCAGCAAACCCUGAUAAAGGUCACAAAGUGAGCGCAAACGCCACUACCGCGAAGACGUUAGGUCAAGGUGUAGCCCAUGAGACGGUAAAAAAUGGGCUACAUUUUCUAUCUCAGAAAAUUCUACGAAAACCCUUAUGAAAUCUAGGGGUCCAAGGAGGAUUUAGCAGUAAAUUAAGAAUAGAGUGCUUAAUUGAACCAGGCCAUAAAGUGCGCACACACCGCCCGUCACUCCUCUCAAAUAUAUUUAAGGAAUAUCCUAACUAAACGCCCAAAUAUUUAUAUAGAGAGGAUAAGUCGUAACAUGGUAAGCGUACUGGAAGGUGCGCUUGGAUAAAUCAA